UUGACCUCGGAUCAGGUAGGGAUACCCGCUGAACUUAACAACAGGGAUUGCUCUAGUAACGGCGAGUGAAGCAGCAAUAGCUCAAAUUUGAAAUCUGGCGUCUUCGACGUCCGAGUUGUAAUUUGUAGAGGAUGCUUCUGAGUGGCCACCGACCUAAGUUCCUUGGAACAGGACGUCAUAGAGGGUGAGAAUCCCGUAUGCGGUCGGAAAGGCGCUCUAUACGUAGCUCCUUCGACGAGUCGAGUUGUUUGGGAAUGCAGCUCUAAAUGGGAGGUAAAUUUCUUCUAAAGCUAAAUAUUGGCCAGAGACCGAUAGCGCACAAGUAGAGUGAUCGAAAGAUGAAAAGCACUUUGGAAAGAGAGUUAAAAAGCACGUGAAAUUGUUAAAAGGGAAGGGAUUGCAACCAGACUUGCUCGCGGUGUUCCGCCGGUCUUCUGACCGGUCUACUCGCCGCGUUGCAGGCCAGCAUCGUCUGGUGCCGCUGGAUAAGACUUGAGGAAUGUAGCUCCCUCGGGAGUGUUAUAGCCUCUUGUGAUGCAGCGAGCGCCGGGCGAGGUCCGCGCUUCGGCUAGGAUGCUGGCGUAAUGGUCGUAAUCCG
rnacentral:rRNA from 1 species